UGGAGGCAGCAGUGAGGAAUAUUGGUCAAUGGGCGCAAGCCUGAACCAGCCAUCCCGCGUGCAGGAAGAAGGCGCUAUGCGUUGUAAACUGCUUUUCCAGGGGGCGAAUAGCUUCUACGUGUAGAGGUAUGACGGUACCCUGGGAAUAAGCAUCGGCUAACUCCGUGCCAGCAGCCGCGGUAAUACGGAGGAUGCGAGCGUUAUCCGGAUUUAUAGGGUUUAAAGGGUGCGUAGGCGGGAUAAUAAGUCAGUGGUGAAAACCUGCAGCUUAACUGUAGAACUGCCAUUGAUACUGUUAUUCUUGAGUGUGGUCAAGGUAGGCGGAAUGUGUAAUGUAGCGGUGAAAUGCUUAGAUAUUACACAGAACACCGAUUGCGAAGGCAGCUUAUUGGACCAUUACUGACGCUGAUGCACGAAAGCGUGGGGAGCGAACAGGAUUAGAUACCCUAGUAGUCC
rnacentral:rRNA from 1 species